CAGAUGAUAAUAGUAGACCGUUUAGAAUAGACUAUGCCAAUCAACUUUAACCAAUGAUGUCAUUUUCAAGGUCCUCAAUAGUGGUGACUUUAUCACUAUUUUAUUUAACCGGAAACGCGCACACAUUCAAAUAAAAGCAUUUCCGCCAAAAAAUCGUUUUUUAAAUUAACGGUCAAAAUAAUUUCAGUUUUGUGGUGUCACUUACGACUAUCUUCACAACAGACAUGUCAAUAAUUUUUGUUUACCUGAAUGGCAACAUAUUUUUGUAUGUUUUAUUCGCAUUUUACCAACUGAAUUAGCACGAAACUUAUUGCAGAGAAUUUCUAGGCCCAUAAAAUUAAGGAAUUGAACACUGAAUUGCACAAUCGACACCACAUUACUUUUAAAAAUGAGAUUUUCACAACACCCACAAAGUUUGACCAAAUUAAUUUGUCUUUAAAAUUAUUUCGGAGAAUUUGUCCUAAAUUCUGUUUAAGACACUAGCAUGAGCACACUCGUAACUAUUUUCUGGACGAAAUUUAAACUGAAUCACUUCGUUUUACGCGAAAUACUACAAAUUUUCGACACGAACUUGUUUGAGAUUAAAACUUUACUGUGGCGUUUUGACAUUUCAUCAAAACAAAAUUCAGUGAAUCAGUCAAAACUGGGUGAACUGAGUGAACAAUACUACUGUAAUUGUAAAGUGGCAAACUUAAGACCUUAUGUGGAAUUUGG